GUUAUUUCACGUUGCUCCUCUGACGUAUCAUUAAUCGGAUUCUACGCAGUUGUUGACAAAGUUUGUCUAACUAAAGAAUUGAAAAUGGUUCCUCCGGUGCAAGUCUCACCGCUUAUCAAGACUGCAAGAUGGUCAGCCUUGCUGAUAGGAAUCAUCUACGGCAAACAGAGAUACGAUUACCUGAAACCAAUUGCUGCAGAGGAGAGGAGAAUUGAGGAGGCAGAGAAGAAACAAAGAGAGGAACAAGAGCGCAUCUAUAAACAGCUAGCUGAAGCGAACUCUGACACAAUCCUGAAAUGAAUCCUCACAACAAGGACCAACUUUCUAUUUUUCAAUAAACUGUUUCGUUCAAAAAAAA